ACUGACGUUUUCUUGGAAGAAAACCUUCACAUUGAACAAAAAAACAUCAUCUCCCUUCGCGUUGUUCGUUUCCACUUGUGCGGUUGCAAGCGGAGAGUCGGGACGACACUCUCG
rnacentral:ribozyme from 1 species